rnacentral:rRNA from 1 species
CGAUAGCGUAUAUUUAAGUUGUUGCAGUUAAAAAGCUCGUAGUUGGAUUUCUGGCUCGGCAAGCCUAGCCCGAGGACCUGGUGUCCUUGUGAGCUGGCGCUUGUCGGCCAUCCUUCAGGAGAGUGUUUCUGCCCUUGAUUGGGUUGGGGACAGGAUCCUGAUCGUUUACUUUGAAAAAAUUAGAGUGUUCAAAGCAGGCGUGUGCUGUGAAUACAUUAGCAUGGAAUAAUAAGAUAGGACUUCGGCCCUAUUUUGUUGGUUCUGGAGCUGAGGUAAUGAUUGAUAGGGAUAGUUGGGGGUGCUCGUAUUCAACGGCCAGAGGUGAAAUUCUUGGAUUCGUUGAAGACGAACUUAUGCGAAAGCAUUCACCAAGGAUGUCUUCUUUAA